rnacentral:rRNA from 1 species
CCCUUAGAUGUUCUGGGCGGCCCGCGCACUACAUUGGCACUCUCAAUAAGUUCCUAGAUCUAAAACUUUGGGGUAUUCUAUUAAGUGGUGUCGUGACUGGGAUUAACCCUUGCAAUUAUUGGUUACGAACGAGGAAUUCCUUGUAAUCGCGGUUUAUCAGCCCGCGUUGAAUGCGUCCCUGCCCUUUGUACACACCGCCCGUCGCUCCUACCGAGGAAUCGUCCGGUGAAGUUCAUGGAGUGGUGGUUGUUCCAGCUGCUGUCGAAGUGAAAUGGACCUCACGAUUUAGAGGAAGGAGAAGUCGUAACA